GCCCAGGUGGCGGAAUCGGCAGACGCGCUAGCUUGAGGGGCUAGUGCCCGUUUAGGGCGUGGAGGUUCAAAUCCUCUCCUGGGCA
rnacentral:tRNA from 1 species